GUGCCAGCAGCCGCGGUAAUACGUAGGGGGCAAGCGUUGUCCGGAAUUAUUGGGCGUAAAGAGCGUGUAGGCGGUCCGGUAAGUCAGCUGUGAAAGUCAAGGGCUCAACCCUUGAAAGCCGGUUGAUACUGUCGGGCUAGAGUCCGGAAGAGGCGAGUGGAAUUCCCGGUGUAGCGGUGAAAUGCGCAGAUAUCGGGAGGAACACCAAUGGCGAAGGCAGCUCGCUGGGACGGUACUGACGCUGAGACGCGAAAGCGUGGGGAGCAAACAGGAUUAGAAACCCCCGUAGUCC
rnacentral:rRNA from 1 species